rnacentral:rRNA from 1 species
AUCCAGACUCCUACGGGAGGCAGCAGUGGGGGAUAUUGCACAAUGGGGGAAACCCUGAUGCAGCGACGCCGCGUGAGUGAAGAAGUAAUUCGUUACGUAAAGCUCUAUCAGCAGGGAAGAAAAUGACGGUACCUGACUAAGAAGCCCCGGCUAACUACGUGCCAGCAGCCGCGGUAAUACGUAGGGGGCAAGCGUUAUCCGGAUUUACUGGGUGUAAAGGGAGCGUAGACGGCAUGGCAAGUCAGAUGUGAAAGCCCGGGGCUCAACCCCGGGACUGCAUUUGAAACUGUCAGGCUGGAGUGCAGGAGAGGUAAGUGGAAUUCCUAGUGUAGCGGUGAAAUGCGUAGAUAUCAGGAGGAACACCGGUGGCGAAGGCGGCCUGCUGGACUGCAACUGACGUUGAGGCCCGAAAGCGUGGGGAGCAAACAGGAUUAGAUACCCCAGUAA